GUCACUGCCGCAGCACUGCUGCCAACGAGUGGUGUCGGUCCACACCUCAGAACCAGACCCAGGGCCCUGAAGCAGAGCUCACUGAACUUAACCUCUAGGCCAUGGGGCUGGCCCCUGAUCACGGACAUUUUUAACAAGAGAUAAAGAAUGUUGCUGCUCGCUACACUAGUCAGCUCUGGAAAGUUCUGUCUCAUGGAAUGAAGAACUAUGCUCAUAAAAGAGGAAAAAAAGGCCGUGCUCUUAGGAAGGACCUGUAGUCCUGGAGUUUCGCUUCAGCGGUUGUUAAACUGGGGGACGUACAGCCCUGAGGUUAUACAGAAGCUUUACAAGAGUCUCUUGCAAGAUGGUUUCAGGGCAUUCCUUUACGGAUCUGUAGCUUCCGUUUGUACUUUUUUCUAAAAUCCUUCUGCAGUGGACGUGUGGAGGCACAAGGGGGCUGCUUUUCCCCACCUACCCUUUCUUCCUCCCACCGCCCCCUCCCCACCAAGGCUGUUCAUUGUCCUGGAGCAUGAAAACCUCUGGGGUGACCAAGAAAAGAACAGGUUUAUAUAUUGAUGUCCAGUGGGACUUCAAAGUCUAGGUAACAAAGGUUCUUGCAAAUCAGGUGCAAAAUGAAAGAGAAGCUAAUUGAUGCGUCAGCUGAUAGAAGAUUGGAAAUAACUCAUGAAAGAUGGCUGCGUAGUUCUCACACAUCAUUCCAAAGGAAUUCGAAGACUUGAAUAAUAUUGCAGUAACAAUGUACCUUUCAUUUUCAUUUAUUUAUGUGAAUAAUGUUUCCUGUCACUUAAAUCUUUAAUAAGGAAAAAUAGGAAGAGACUGGAUGUUGAAACUUGUCUCUUAGAACUCAUUUUAAUCUAUGGAUAUAUGAACUUGGCUAUGAAACAGCUACAUUCAUUUAACUAAAUGAUGCUCUUCCAAUGCAAUUUCACUUAAUAUUUAUCACAAUUUGAAAGAUAUUUAUGCUACUUUGAUUAAAAUUAUGUACUACUAGUUGUAAAGGUAAUCAAUCCUAAAAAAUUUUUUAACACGAGUUCUAUGAUCAUAAGAGACAAAAAAAUUGAAAUUUCUGUUUAGAGACAUAUAUUUUUGUGGCCAAGAAAUGUGAAGCAUGGUUGAAAAAAGACUUUGGAGCUUAAAAAGAUACGUUGCCAAAGGAUAAAAUUCUGGCAGAAAUGAAAUGGGUUUAAGGAGGAAAAGAAAGAAUGUAAAAUCUAUUACUGUAAAAAAAGAGCUCAGGCAUGUAUCUUUAAAAUGGAUGAUGGUGG
rnacentral:lncRNA from 1 species